rnacentral:tRNA from 1 species
GGAGAGGUGCAUGAGUGGCUGAUAUGGCACGCCUGGAAAGCGUGUGUACCGUAAGGUACCGCGGGUUCGAAUCCCGCUCUCUCCGCGA